UGGGGAAUCUUGCGCAAUGGGCGAAAGCCUGACGCAGCGACGCCGCGUGAGUGAUGAAGGCCUUCGGGUUGUAAAGCUCUGUGGGGAGAGAAGAAUAAGUCGUAGUGAAUAUCUACGAUGAUGACGGUAUCUCCUUAGCAAGCACCGGCUAACUCUGUG
rnacentral:rRNA from 1 species